rnacentral:rRNA from 1 species
AUACGUAGGUGACAAGCGUUAUCCGGAUUUACUGGGCGUAAAGGGUGCGUAGGCGGUCGGGUAAGCGUAGGGUGAAAGUCCUCUGCUCAACAGAGGAAGUGCCUUCCGAACUGUCCGACUGGAAUGCUCCUGCCGUGGGAGGAAUGUGUGGUGUAGCGGUGAAAUGCAUAGAGAUCACACAGAACACCGAUUGCGAAGGCAUCUCACGAAGGGGCUAAUGACGCUGAGGCACGAAAGCGUGGGGAUCAAACAGGAUUAGAUACCCUGGUAGUCCACGCAGUAAACGAUGAUGACUAACCGUCGGGCAAGACUGAUCGGUGGCCAAGCGAAAGCGAUAAGUCAUCCACCUGGGGAGUACGACCGCAAGGUUGAAACUCAAAGGAAUUGACGGGG